CACACAUACAUGGGUUACGUGGGUCACAUAUCGAUACCACCUUAAACAGCUGGAACGUUUCCAUCAGAUGUGUCUCAGACGGAUUUAUGGCAUUAAGUGGGAGAACCGCAUCAUUGAUUUUGAAAUAUUGGAAGGCUCUCGGUGCGAA